rnacentral:tRNA from 1 species
CCGGGAAUAGAUCAAUUGGCUAGAUCGACUGACUGUGGAUCAGUAAAUUAAGGUUCAAACCCUUAUUCCCGGA